AUUGAACGCUGGCGGCAGGCCUAACACAUGCAAGUCGAACGAGUGGCGGACGGGUGAGUAAUGUCUGGGAAACUGCCUGAUGGAGGGGGAUAACUACUGGAAACGGUAGCUAAUACCGCAUACCAUCAGAUGUGCCCAGAUGGGAUUAGCUUGUGGGGGGGGUAACGGCUCACCAAGGCGACGAUCCCUAGCUGGUCGGAGAGGAGGACCACCAAAAUUGGAAAUGAGACACGGUCCAGCACCCUACGGUAGGCAUAAGGGGGAAAUAUCGCACAAUGGGCGCAAGCCUGAUGCAGCCAUGCCGCGUGUAUGAAGAAGGCCUUGGGGUUGUAAAGUACGUUCAGCGGGGAGGCGUUACCCGAAGAAGAAGCACCGGCUAACUCCGUGCCAGCAGCCGCGGUAAUAC
rnacentral:rRNA from 1 species